AAAUUGAAGAGUUUGAUCAUGGCUCAGAUUGAACGCUGGCGGCAGGCCUAACACAUGCAAGUCGAACGGUAACAGGAAGCAGCUUGCUGCUUCGCUGACGAGUGGCGGACGGGUGAGUAAUGUCUGGGAAACUGCCUGAUGGAGGGGGAUAACUACUGGAAACGGUGGCUAAUACCGCAUAACGUCGCAAGACCAAAGAGGGGGACCUUCGGGCCUCUUGCCAUCAGAUGUGCCCAGAUGGGAUUAGCUAGUUGGUGAGGUAACGGCUCACCAAGGCGACGAUCCCUAGCUGGUCUGAGAGGAUGACCAGCCACACUGGAACUGAGACACGGUCCAGACUCCUACGGGAGGCAGCAGUGGGGAAUAUUGCACAAUGGGCGCAAGCCUGAUGCAGCCAUGCC
rnacentral:rRNA from 2 species